CGUCGACCGGCGCACGGGUGAGUAACGCGUAUCCAACCUUCCCAUUACUGUGGGAUAACCUGCCGAAAGGCAGACUAAUACCGCAUAGUCUUCGAUGACGGCAUCAGAUUUGAAGUAAAGAUUUAUCGGUAAUGGAUGGGGAUGCGUCUGAUUAGCUUGUUGGCGGGGUAACGGCCCACCAAGGCGACGAUCAGUAGGGGUUCUGAGAGGAAGGUCCCCCACAUUGGAACUGAGACACGGUCCAAACUCCUACGGGAGGCAGCAGCG
rnacentral:rRNA from 1 species